rnacentral:misc_RNA from 1 species
UUUCCGUAGGUGAACCUGCGGAAGGAUCAUUCAUAAUAAAGUGGUUUAUGGCACUUUUUAAAAUCCAUAUCCACCUUGGGUGCAAUGUUAGAUCUCGUCAAUCUUGGCGAGAUUUUUAUACAUCAACUCAUUCUUUAACUAAUUUGUCUGAAAAAUGCUAUGAAUACUUAAUUCAAAAUACAACUUUCAACAACGGAUCUCUUGGCUCUC